rnacentral:rRNA from 1 species
CUCAAAGGAAUUGACGGGGGCCCGCACAAGCGGAGGAGCAUGUGGUUUAAUUCGAUGAUACGCGAGGAACCUUACCAGGGCUCGAACGCAGGGGGGAUAUACCUGAAAGGGUAUAGCCAGCGAUGGUCGCCUGCGAGGUGCUGCAUGGUUGUCGUCAGCUCGUGCCGUGAGGUGUCAGGUUAAGUCCUAUAACGAGCGCAACCCCUAUCCAUAGUUGCCAGCGGGUAAAGCCGGGGACUCUAUGGGAACUGCCUGCGCAAGCAGAGAGGAAGGAGGGGAUGACGUCAAAUCAGCACGGCCCUUAUGUCCUGGGCUACACACGUGCUACAAUGGUCGGUACAGAGGGCAGCGACCACGUGAGUGGGAGCCAAUCCUUAAAGCCGAUCUCAGUUCGGAUUGGAGUCUGCAACCCGACUCAUGAAGUUGGAUUCGCUAGUAAUCGCGCAUCAGCCAUGCGGCGGUGAAUACGUUCCCGGGCCUUGUACACACCGGCCGUCAAGCC